UACAGAGGUCUCAAGCGUUGUUCGGAUUCAUUGGGCGUAAAGGGUGCGUAGGCGGCGCGGUAAGUCGGGUGUGAAAUCUUGGAGCUUAACUCCGAAACUGCAUUCGAUACUGCCGUGCUUGAGGACUGGAGAGGAGGCUGGAAUUUACGGUGUAGCGGUGAAAUGCGUAGAUAUCGUAAGGAAGACCAGUGGCGAAGGCGGGUCUCUGGACAGUUCCUGACGCUGAGGCACGAAGGCCAGGGGAGCAAGCGGG
rnacentral:rRNA from 1 species